rnacentral:lncRNA from 1 species
AAGGUUAUUCGUUAUCCAUGGCAGGCCUUAUCUCAUUGGUUGGGCUGGUUGAAAGGCUGAUCUUUAGUUCAUUCCACGAUGCUCUAUCGGGUGAGCGAACAAGCUAUAGACUAGAAGACAUAGGGAAUAGGGAUUCGUUGAACUAUGUUCAACUCAUUUGAAACUCAUUUAGUCAAGCUAUGUUAGUGAAGCUAGUUAGUCAAGCUACGUUAGUGAAGCUAAUAGUUAGGACGCGCAUCCGUUUCCUUGGUAAGGCCACAAGUGGAAGCAACCGAUGCUUUGAUCAUUCAAUGGACUCCUUGCUGCCAGUCCGUGCUUGCUGUCAUGCUAGCAAAAGCAGGGGUUUCGGUCGGUUUUACCUACUAUUGG